CCUACGGGUGGCAGCAGUGAGGAAUAUUGGUCAAUGGCCGGAAGGCUGAACCAGCCAUGCCGCGUGAAGGUCAGUGCCCUAUGGGCGUUAAACUUCUUUUGUGCGGGAGCAAUAAUGGUCACGUGUGGCCAGACGAGAGUACCGUACGAAUAAGCAUCGGCUAACUCCGUGCCAGCAGCCGCGGUAAUACGGGGGAUGCAAGCGUUAGCCGGAUUUAUUGGGUUUAAAGGGUGCGUAGGCUGUGAGGUAAGUCAGCGGUGAAAUGCCCCCGCUCAACGGGGUGAAGUGCCAUUGAUACUGCCUGGCUGGAAUGCGGAUGCCGUGGGAGGAAUGUGUGGUGUUGCGGUGAAAUGCAUAGAUAUCACACAGAACACCGAUUGCGAAGGCAUCUCACGAAUCCGCGAUUGACGCUGAUGCACGAAAGCGUGGGUAUCAAACAGGAUUAGAUACCCCAGUAGUC
rnacentral:rRNA from 1 species